CAUAGUGAUCCGGUGGUUCUGAAUGGAAGGGCCAUCGCUCAACGGAUAAAAGGUACUCCGGGGAUAACAGGCUGAUACCGCCCAAGAGUUCAUAUCGACGGCGGUGUUUGGCACCUCGAUGUCGGCUCAUCACAUCCUGGGGCUGAAGUAGGUCCCAAGGGUAUGGCUGUUCGCCAUUUAAAGUGGUACGCGAGCUGGGUUUAGAACGUCGUGAGACAGUUCGGUCCCUAUCUGCCGUGGGCGCUGGAGAAUUGAGGGGGGCUGCUCCUAGUACGAGAGGACCGGAGUGGACGCAUCACUGGUGUUCGGGUUGUCAUGCCAAUGGCACUGCCCGGUAGCUAAAUGCGGAAGAGAUAAGUGCUGAAAGCAUCUAAGCACGAAACUUGCCCCGAGAUGAGUUCUCCCUGACUCCUUGAGAGUCCUGAAGGAACGUUGAAGACGACGACGUUGAUAGGCCGGGUGUGUAAGCGCAGCGAUGCGUUGAGCUAACCGGUACUAAUGAACCGUGAGGCUUAACCUU
rnacentral:rRNA from 1 species